ACUCCUACGGGAGGCAGCAGUGGGGAAUAUUGCACAAUGGGGGAAACCCUGAUGCAGCCAUGCCGCGUGUGUGAAGAAGGCCUUCGGGUUGUAAAGCACUUCAGUAGGGAGGAAGGUAGUGUAGUUAACACCUGCACUAUUUGACGUUACCUACAGAAGAAGCACCGGCUAACUCCGUGCCAGCAGCCGCGGUAAUACGGAGGGUGCGAGCGUUAAUCGGAAUUACUGGGCGUAAAGCGCAUGCAGGCGGCCUGUUAAGUCAGAUGUGAAAGCCCGGGGCUUAACCUCGGAAUUGCAUUUGAAACUGGCAGGCUAGAGUCUUGUAGAGGGGGGUAGAAUUUCAGGUGUAGCGGUGAAAUGCGUAGAGAUCUGAAGGAAUACCAGUGGCGAAGGCGGCCCCCUGGACAAAGACUGACGCUCAGAUGCGAAAGCGUGGGG
rnacentral:rRNA from 1 species